GUGGGGAAUUUUGGACAAUGGGCGCAAGCCUGAUCCAGCAAUGCCGCGUGCAGGAAGAAGGCCUUCGGGUUGUAAACUGCUUUUGUACGGAACGAAACGGUCCUGGUUAAUACCUGGGGCUAAUGACGGUACCGUAAGAAUAAGCACCGGCUAACUACGUGCCAGCAGCCGCGGUAAUACGUAGGGUGCGAGCGUUAAUCGGAAUUACUGGGCGUAAAGCGUGCGCAGGCGGUGCUGUAAGACAGGCGUGAAAUCCCCGGGCCCAACCUGGGAAUUGCGCUUGUGACUGCAGUGCUGGAGUACGGCAGAGGGGGAUGGAAUUCCGCGUGUAGCAGUGAAAUGCGUAGAUAUGCGGAGGAACACCGAUGGCGAAGGCAGUCCCCUGGGCCUGUACUGACGCUCAUGCACGAAAGCGUGGGGAGCAAACAGGAUUAGAAACCCGGGUAGUCC
rnacentral:rRNA from 1 species